GAAAAGCUUGCAUGAAGAAGCACUGAAAAGUGCCUCGAAUGGACGCAGAUGCUUAGUGAAACUAUUAGUCCUUCACGUUCAGCACAGUCUGUCCUGGAUGGCAGCAGUUCUCCAAGGCUUUUGAAGGACAUUUUCUACCCUCAUCUGGAAAUGCUCCAAAGAUGUAAAAAAGCAUUUUUGCCCUCUGCCCAGCAUCCACCAGUCAUAACCUUUUUUAACAGAAGCGUUCUUCCAUCUAUGGUUCAAAUUAAAAAAGAAGUCAUCAACAACUCUGGCAAGAAAAGUAAAAGCAAUCUCCACUACCGCUUGGGUUUCCUGUUUUGAUUCUGAAGAGGCCCAUGCAAAUUAAAAGAGUGAUGUCAGCUGUGAAAGUUUGCCAGGAAGUGAGAGUUCAAUCGAGGAAGCAUCCUUGUGGCUAAACUUUGUAAGGAGGAAAUUUAAGAUUCAGCUGGCAUUUUAUUAAGAGCAAAAUAUUCUUUACAAUGUAUCCGUGGCAGACAGAAAGCAUUUAUUCCAUUCCUUCUUUGGCUAAAGGAAGUGAAUCCAUUUUUUUAUAACACAUAUUGCAUUUUAUCUUUAUUAUGACAGCAUGACCUACACUGUCAUAGCCUUGAUUAUUGAUUGUGACUACGCUAGAAGAAAUACUUGCUAAGGCAGAUUGUGCACUUUUAGUGCCAAGGCAAGAUGUCUGAAAAAUUAGGAAAGUGUGCGUAUCCAUAACAUCUCUGUAAAAACUCUCCAAACAGCACAGAAAAAAAAUAAAGUUAUUUUUCUUGAGGUGGCGCAGCAGUUAGAGUGCAGUACUG